GACGAACGCUGGCGGCGUGCUUAACACAUGCAAGUCGAGCGGUAAGGCCCUUUCGGGGGUACGACGAGCGGCGAACGGGUGAGUAACACGUGGGUGACCUCGCCCUCAGCUCUGGGAUAAGCCUGGGAAACCGGGGUCUAAUACCGGAUAUGACUCCAUGACGCAUGUUGUGGGGUGGAAAGCCUUGUGCGGCUGAGGAUGGGCCCGCGGCCUAUCAGCUUGUUGGUGGGGUGAUGGCCUACCAAGGCGACGACGGGUAGCCGG
rnacentral:rRNA from 1 species